GGGAAUAUUGCACAAUGGGGGAAACCCUGAUGCAGCGACGCCGCGUGAAGGAAGAAGUAUUUCGGUAUGUAAACUUCUAUCAGCAGGGAAGAAAAAAGACGGUACCUGACUAAGAAGCCCCGGCUAACUACGUGCCAGCAGCCGCGGUAAUACGUAGGGGGCUAGCGUUAUCCGGAUUUACUGGGUGUAAAGGGAGCGUAGACGGCGGUGCAAGCCAGAUGUGAAAGCCCGGGGCUCAACCCCGGGACUGCAUUUGGAACUGUGCUGCUAGAGUGUCGGAGAGGCAGGCGGAAUUCCUAGUGUAGCGGUGAAAUGCGUAGAUAUUAGGAGGAACACCAGUGGCGAAGGCGGCCUGCUGGACGAUGACUGACGUUGAGGCUCGAAAGCGUGGGGAGCAAACAGG
rnacentral:rRNA from 1 species